rnacentral:tRNA from 1 species
GCGGAUAUAGUUCAAUGGCAGAGCGCCAGCUUCCCAAGCUGGAUGUUGUGGGUUCGAGUCCCAUUAUCCGCU